rnacentral:rRNA from 1 species
AUACGUAGGGUGCGAGCGCUGUCCGGAAUUACUGGGCGUAAAGAGCUCGUAGGUGGUUUGUCGCGUCGUCUGUGAAAUUCCGGGGCUUAACUCCGGGCGUGCAGGCGAUACGGGCAUAACUUGAGUACUGUAGGGGAGACUGGAAUUCCUGGUGUAGCGGUGAAAUGCGCAGAUAUCAGGAGGAACACCGGUGGCGAAGGCGGGUCUCGGGGCAGUAACUGACGCUGAGGAGCGAAAGCAUGGGUGGCGAACAGGAUUAGAUACCCUGGUAGUCCAUGCAGUAAACGGGGGGCGCUAGGUGUAGGGGUCUUCCACGACUUCUGUGCCGUAGCUAACGCAUUAAGCGCCCCGCCUGGGGAGUACGGCCGCAAGGCUAAAACUCAAAUGAAUUGACGGGG